UUUUUUUGUAGCCCUGCGAGUGAAGGCCACAGUAACCACCCUAAUUGCAGCAGCUUUAUUUCCCCUUUACAAAACCACACUCACCCUUGCUAUCUGUGACACUUAUCAUAGCUGCUAAGCCGAUGCUAGGUGCUAAACCACGAGUCCGAUUUUGCGGACACCCUUUUGUACUGUUAAUGUUUCCUGGAAUCGAUGCACUAGAAAGUAAUCAACUAUCAUUGGACCUGUGUGAUUUUGAGGGUCGCUUGAGGAGCCUGGAGCCUAUCCCAGGGAACUCAGGGCACAGGACAGGGGUUCACCCUGGAUAGGGUGCCAGCCCAUCGCACAAGCACACACAUUCACACACUACGGACAAUUUGGAAAUGCCAGUCAGCCUACAACAGAUGUCUUUGGACUGGGGGAGGAAACCUCUGAAGCACAGGGAGAACAUGCAAACUUUAUGCACACAGGGCGGAGGUGGGAGUCGAACCCCCAACCAAGGUUCCUGAGAAGAGUUUUGGGCCUUUAUUGAGGGAUUAGAGCAAAUCCAUCCGAGCAGACAGGAUUGGGAGGCGACUCCCUGAAGAGACGGGCCUUUCUCUUCCCAUCAUCACUGGCAGCUCCUCAAAUGUGGUGUGGAAAUAACAGACACAUAUCCACCACCAUGGAGCCCUUUUAUAUGGAUAUAUCAUCCGAGUGAUGUAUGCUGAUGUAUGCUAAAUCGUUCGGGAGUGAGCGAGUUAGCACUGACAUUGUCGCCGCUUCUGUUCUCAAGAUGUAGCUAUAGCCGUGGCUAUUGAUGUUGGAGAAUUAGAAUUUCAGAGUGCUCAUUGGCUCACUUCCCUCCCUUCCUUUCUCACUUAGCAUUCACAGAAGACAACAGGGCCUACAGCCAAAGCCCUCCAUCUUUCUUUCUCUCUGUCCUUUGUUUUUCUUCCCCCUCCCCCCCCUCAUGGUGACAGUGCUCAUGUCUGCGUUUGCCUCUUUUGAUAAGGCCUUUCAUCCUGUUUGCAUUGAUUGCUGCUUGACGAGUUGCCCUGAUACGCCACGGUCCAUUCAGGGCCCCCGAGCGGCAUACUGGAGCUAUUGUGGACAGGAAUGUGUCUCUUUUCAGGGCUGGAGCCCACAAAUGAAAGCAUGUCAAUAAUCCCGAGACACCGGUGCUGCACAAUGCAGACAUGCCACACAGAGUCAGGCCUCCUUUUUCUGCUCCACUACCGGGGAAAUCAGGCGAAGAUGAGCGAGAGAGAGAGAGAGAGAGAGAGAGAGAGAGAGAGAGAGAAGUGUCCCCCCCAUGCUGAGGAUAAUCCUACCAGCUAUCAGUUAGAACCACAUUACCAUGCAAGCACACUGAGAGCUUUUUGGUAGAACAGGCUACAGAGGUGUGAAUCAUUCACAGAGAUUCUGUCAAAUUAUGGUUGGAUAUGCACAGUAUGCAUCACCACUUUCUGAUGCUCGCUCGUCACAGAUAAAUCGCCUUCAUCCCUUGAGAAAGUGUCAUUUUUGUACUCGAGAAAGAACUAGCUAUCGACAUGCAGGCUGCUGUUGUAAAUGAUGGAUCUUGUGUUUGUGGCUUUACACCAUAGUUUGUGUAAAUGGUAAUUAGAAAAGCAGAACGGGAAAACGGCAGUCAUGCUGAGAAUCAGG
ensembl:lncRNA